GAUGAAGAACGUAGCGAAAUGCGAUAAGUAAUGUGAAUUGCAGAAUUCAGUGAAUCAUCGAAUCUUUGAACGCACAUUGCGCCCGCCAGUAUUCUGGCGGGCAUGCCUGUUCGAGCGUCAUUUCAACCAUCAAGCCCCCGGCUUGUGUUGGGGACCUGCGGCUGCCGCAGGCCCUGAAAAGCAGUGGCGGGCUCGCUGUCACACCGAGCGUAGUAGCAUACAUCUCGCUCUGGGCGUGCUGCGGGUUCCGGCCGUUAAACCACCUUCAUAACCCAAGGUUGACCUCGGAUCAGGUAGGAAGACCCGCUGAACUUAAGCAUAUCAUAAGCGGGGA
rnacentral:misc_RNA from 1 species